GGGCCUAUAGCUCAGUUGGUUAGAGCGUCCGCCUGAUAAGCGGGAGGUCGGUGGUUCGAAUCCACUUAGGCCCACCA
rnacentral:tRNA from 1 species